rnacentral:tRNA from 1 species
GCAGGUAUAGUUUAAACAAAACAUUAGAUUGUGAAUCUAACAAUAGAGACUAAAAACUCUUAUCUACC